AUUGAACGCUGGCGGCAGGCUUAACACAUGCAAGUCGAGCGGAGCGAGGGUGCUUGCACCUUAGCUUAGCGGCGGACGGGUGAGUAAUGCUUAGGAAUCUGCCUAUUAGUGGGGGACAACAUUCCGAAAGGGAUGCUAAUACCGCAUACGCCCUACGGGGGAAAGCAGGGGAUCUUCGGACCUUGCGCUAAUAGAUGAGCCUAAGUCGGAUUAGCUAGUUGGUGGGGUAAAGGCCUACCAAGGCGACGAUCUGUAGCGGGUCUGAGAGGAUGAUCCGCCACACUGGGACUGAGACACGGCCCAGACUCCUACGGGAGGCAGCAGUGGGGAAUAUUGGACAAUGGGCGGAAGCCUGAUCCAGCCAUGCCGCGUGUGUGAAGAAGGCCUUUUGGUUGUAAAGCACUUUAAGCGAGGAGGAGGCUACUAGUAUUAAUACUACUGGAUAGUGGACGUUACUCGCAGAAUAAGCACCGGCUAACUCUGUGCCAGCCGCCGCAGUAAUAC
rnacentral:rRNA from 1 species